ensembl:lncRNA
UCUUCUUCAGGAUGAGUCACACACUUUUCCUCUUUUCUAAUUCUGCAGAGACUUGGCACCUCUGUGUGAUGAAAUCCAUAUACUGGCUGUGGUAAAAGGGCUGAGCUAAACACAGAGCAGAUGAAGAGAUACAGGUAUCUUUCCAGGAGCAACUUCAUUAUCUGGGCAUGGGUAUGUACAGCUUGUGGGACCAUAAAAAAACCUCUCAGUAUAAAGGCAAAGAGCUUUCUCCUUCUGGGCAUAGAUGGAGUCAAGAGACUGAAUGAACCAUCCACAUCUUGCUGCAUUGUCUUCCAUUAUCUCUCAGUCUUUACAUCAGAAACACCAGAAGAAAACAUGGUGCAAUGCAGACCCUCCAUGUGCCACAGGCUGCUGGGAAUGACAGGACACAUUCUUCCAGGGCUGCCUGAUGUCUGCUCCAGAAGAGGGUGAUGUAAUGAAGCAGACAUCCAUGUGCACACACCAAAGCCUGGCUAGAUGCAUGUGUGCUUGGGAUUAGUAGCUGCCAGCCCUGACCUCUGCCUUCCCUGAUGGAUCAGGAUCCACUGCUCCCUACGCAGAGGGCCAGCAGAAGAGCUCCGUGCAGUGCAAGCUGCAUUUCGGCACAGUUCUGAGAACUUCUGUGGGAUGUGGGUGGGCAGAAGGUUUCGCUCAGUGGAAACAUUUAAAUUUGAGCGUGGAAACACUUUUACUGGCCAACAAGUUGUUUUCUUUUAAGCUUUCACAGACCGAGGAACAUCGUCGCAUAAUUCCAUUAGUGAAUCCAGCAAGUUUUUGUUAAAUUGCAACACCUCUUUCAGGAAGUUAUUAAACAAUGAUUUAGAGACCAAAGAUAUUACAAAUUUACCACUUCCCUUAAUGUCUUUUUCCAAUCCAUAAUUGACUCCAUUUAUUUCCACUUUGAAUUUUAGAUCUAUCUUUUAGCCAUUGAAAGUUAAUGCACUUUGCUGCCAGCUCACAGUCCUAAGACUAAUCACAAAUUUUAACAUGUGUCAGAGAUAAAAUAACUCAAAAAGUAUGAAUAAUAAUGUCUGUAUCUCUUUAAAUGCUAGUAAAAUUGAUUGGCGACCUUCAUGCCUUUCACCCACAGUGAGUAUUUGAGCUGAAGAUAGAAAUGCCAUUUCUUUGAAGGUGGUGGCUCCCUUUAACUUUGGGUUUGCUUGUCUUUCCGCAUUGCACACUGUGAUUAUCCAUCAACAGCAAUGCCAGAGGCUCUUGCAGCUUAGCAGGGGCAGCCGGGGACACGACUUUCAUCUUGUUGAAACAAAUAGGAAUAUCACAGUUCUUACAACCCUCUGAAACAUGGCAGAGACUUUGAGGUGAAUAUUUAGCGACUGGGCUAAAUAUGUGUGGGCAGUGCAAACACAAGCUGCAGCAAACAAGAGCCUUCCAGCCUUUUCUUCCAGUUGUCCUACAGAGGACCGAAAGUUGCGAGCAAUUUGCUUAUUCUUAGACCGGAGCCACCGGAGCAGGGCCUCUUCGUGUUGACUCAUGAAACCCUUUCAUGCUUAUCAGCAUACAGCUGGAUUUCCUCUGCUUUAUCACACCGCCACUUUUCCUGUAUGGCUCUCAGUUUUGUUUGGAGUUCUCUGGUCUCGCUAUUAUAUGCAGCUCUCUUUGAUGCAAUGAUAGAUCUUGCAACCGUGCUCCGUGAAAUGUGCACCUCUCCUGAGGUGCUGUAUAAUUGCAGGAUCACUCUUAUCUCAUCAAUCUUAAUGCUUUCUAAUUUUUUUGCCCUGGGGUCUUGUUUGAAGCACAGCUUAAGAUAUCCCUGAAGAUUUCCAAAUUAUUUUAUUGGAAUUCUUUAGAGUUUUUCAUGUUGAGCUUUUAAUAAAGCAAAACAUUGAGGAUUAAUGUCUACUCA